AAAAAGCGUCAAAUGUCUAAUUUAAACGCGAAAAAGCAGCAGUGGCUCUGUCUCAACUGACAUUUCAGUUGUAAACAAACAAAUUGUAAAUAAACAAACAAAAUAAAAUUUCUAGUGAUUGUGUUCAAACUAUUUGUGCUCUUAGAAAAUAAAAAAAAGAAUAUUUCCGUAGCCCUAUUUUUUAUGGAGGAGGUUCGAAAUGUGCCACGGAGGAAUUUAAGAGAUGCUUCGAAUUUAUUUGAAGUACCUAACAACCAGUUUGUGGCCAACUUUCGCGUGUCGAAGGAAGUUUUCGGGCUCUUUUGGAUAUGAUGGAAGAGAAGUGUGUGCCCGGUUGCAGAACUACCCAAAUCCGCCCCGAUUUAAAACUGCUGCUUCCAAAAAUUGGCAUUCCUCUGGCGAACACAGGAUUCUCCUCCAUUUACUCAACUAGUGCCCGCAGCUGUGUAGUUGAUGAUUUUUUCGUGCUGGAAUUGAGAAAAUAAAAAAAAUAUAUAUUUGUUGUUCACAUAUUAAA